rnacentral:rRNA from 1 species
AGUGAACGCUGGCGGUAGGCCUAACACAUGCAAGUCGAACGGCAGCACAGUAAGAGCUUGCUCUUACGGGUGGCGAGUGGCGGACGGGUGAGGAAUACAUCGGAAUCUACUUUUUCGUGGGGGAUAACGUAGGGAAACUUACGCUAAUACCGCAUACGACCUACGGGUGAAAGCAGGGGAUCUUCGGACCUUGCGCGAUUGAAUGAGCCGAUGUCGGAUUAGCUAGUUGGCGGGGUAAAGGCCCACCAAGGCGACGAUCCGUAGCUGGUCUGAGAGGAUGAUCAGCCACACUGGUACUGAGACACGGUCCAGACUCCUACGGGAGGCAGCAGUGGGGAAUAUUGGACAAAGGGCGCAAGCCUGAUCCAGCCAUACCGCGUGGGUGAAGAAGGCCUUCGGGUUGUAAAGCCCUUUUGUUGGGAAAGAAAAGCAGCAGGUUAAUACCCCGCUGUUCUGACGGUACCCAAAGAAUAAGCACCGGCUAACUUCGUG